GCGGGAAAGACAGCGUCUUACCUCAAGGUAAAGCUACCCACUUUGGCUCCAGACAACACAAUUUGGCUGACUCAGUGCCUCAAUUUAUCUCCAGCACUGACAAUAUAGAAUCCUCUGGAUGGACUGGCUGCUCUCAUCAUACAAAUGACCCUCACAUUUGACUUGGCCGCUCUGAUAUCCAGUUUGAUUAUCCAGCUACUCUUCCUGCUGCUGCCAGCUUUGAAACCCUACCAUAAAUGCCUCUCAUCACAUUAUCUUCUUCGCUGUGAGCCUGGCCUACGUCAAGCACAGAAGUGUCCCAUGGAGGGUGGCAUAUGUGUGUGACACCCGUCAAAGAGUGCAUUAAAGAAUGAGACCUAGAAACAGCCACCCUUCUGUGCUGUUCAUGAAAAGGAGUGUUUGUAAGUCCACAGCUUGAAGCAUCCUCUUAACCCAAAUCCCAGCUGCAAGCAGGUUAAACUCACACGUCGUCUUUGCAAUCCAAGUGGCUAGAAAUCAAUGUUAAGGCAACCACAUGGCCCUUGUUUUUAACAGAGGACAGUCCUCUGUCUGAAGGACUUGCCAGAGGUCCUUUUUGGAGUUUUUCUUGUUUGGAAAUGUCCUCUGAAGAGCUAUCCAGUCCAAGUCUGGUUUAAAGAUAAAGAGCUUUACAGAUUAAAGUUUAAAGGUUUAAAGAUAAAGAGUCCGAGUCUGGUUUAAAGAUAAAGAGGAGAGUGAUCACAGACCUUGAAGCUGUUGUUGUAUGCUGUCAAUUUAUUUUGAACUUGUGGGGAUCCUAACAUGAACCCAUGCAUCUAGGAUGACCCUAUCCUAAGGUGAACCUAAUGGGUCACAUUAUACAUGGAUGUACAUUGUAAAUGGUGCCAUUACAUACCAUUGGUUGUGCAUUUGGUUGCACAUUUUGUGUCUUGGUUCAAUAGUGUGGCACUGUCAUUCAACACAACAGCUACACGUGACAAUUAAUGGGUAAGUCUACAUGUGUAGAUCUCUUCAACAUAACCCUGAUGUAGGAUUUCAGCAGUAAAGCUCUUUCUCACACAAACACACUCACAAACAAGGCCAACCUUACUAUUAGGCAGACUGAGGCAAUCACCUCUAAUAACAGCAGAUACUGGGAGGGCAUCAAUGGCCGUUCCUUGGCUGUUUCUGAUCUCCCUGGCUUUUCUGCUUGGUUGGAGAACAAAGGAAA